GGACACUUGUAUACCAAUGCCUUUCAACACACAAAAAAUAAAGGAAAUCUAUUUUCCGAAGUCAAAGUCAUCGGACCGCUCUUAGCGGGACUGCCACUUAAACUAUAAGUAUUUACCUUCUUUUGAAAAAGAUUGUUAAAGAGACACAUGAAUUCAUUACCGUUUGCUAUGCUCUUGUAUCCACGACGGUAAAACUCUUGUUAUGAGGUUGUCGACGAGCAAAUUGAGAGAGACACAUGCACACUUCAAAAACUAUUACCAAUUUACUUCCGCUUGCCGUCCUAAGUAUUUGACGUCGUAGAUACUCGAGCUAUCUAUUUAUUUAGGACGACAUGCUAGUCCCGGUCCUCUGCUUAGCCUUGACGUCCUAGCUGAUGUAGACGUCGAAGAUCUUAAGCUAUGUAUUAUUGGCCUGGGUGGAAACGUCAGCAUGAGUUCUCUGCAACACUGAUAUCAAAUUAUUUCCAUUACGCCCGCUUUGCUUUGGUCUAUAUAUGCUAUUACGGAAGGAAGAGAUUCUAACUGGUAUUCUAGCCAUUACACACAUGUCGAGUAUUUCCCGUGAUAGGUAGUGUUAAUUUUAAUUUCACGUUCAGUGGAAUUUAUUGGUUGCCAAGGUCUACUUUUGACGAACUUUGGCCAGAAACUGUCAGAUUGAACUAGCAACCCCACUGAGGACAGAAUAUGGACUUCUGCAGAGCGUGUUCCCCUACGUUGACUUCGAAACAGUGAAAUAUGGGUCGGUGUUAUAUUACGUUUCUCUAAAUAAGACAGGAUCUAAUUCUCUUUCACACGCUCAUGUAUUCCAGAAAGAAAAAAUUCUUUAUUCUUUUUCGCCUUCGGUCGACCCCAAUAAAGCCAUCAGCAUCAUUCAGUAGCUGAGCUUUUCAUUAGAUUUACAAGUUUUUGGGCACGAUUUUGCCACUUGAGCAUAGGUUUCUUGAUGCACCACAGCUUCAGGUUUUUCAAUAACAUUACUGUCAACGUAUUAAUUGGUCACCUACAAAACAAUCAGC